rnacentral:rRNA from 1 species
UACGAAGGGGGCUAGCGUUGCUCGGAAUUACUGGGCGUAAAGCGCACGUAGGCGGUCUUUUAAGUCGGGGGUGAAAUCCUGAAGCUCAACUCCAGAACUGCCUUCGAUACUGGAAGACUUGAGUCCGGGAGAGGUGAGUGGAACUGCGAGUGUAGAGGUGAAAUUCGUAGAUAUUCGCAAGAACACCAGUGGCGAAGGCGGCUCACUGGCCCGGUACUGACGCUGAGGUGCGAAAGCGUGGGGAGCAAACAGG